rnacentral:rRNA from 1 species
GCAAGUCGAGCGCGCCUUCGGGUGAGCGGCGGACGGGUUAGUAACGCGUGGGAACGUUCCCUUCUCUACGGAACAGCCUUUGGAAACGAAGAGUAAUACCGUAUACGCCCUUUGGGGGAAAGAUUUAUCGGAGAAGGAUCGGCCCGCGUUAGAUUAGAUAGUCGGUGGGGUAACGGCCUACCAAGUCUACGAUCUAUAGCUGGUUUUAGAGGAUGAUCAGCAACACUGGGACUGAGACACGGCCCAGACUCCUACGGGAGGCAGCAGUGGGGAAUCUUAGACAAUGGGCGCAAGCCUGAUCUAGCCAUGCCGCGUGAGUGAUGAAGGCCUUAGGGUCGUAAAGCUCUUUCGCCUGUGAUGAUAAUGACAGUAGCAGGUAAAGAAACCCCGGCUAACUCCGUGCCAGCAGCCGCGGUAAUACGGAGGGGGUUAGCGUUGUUCGGAAUUACUGGGCGUAAAGCGCACGUAGGCGGAUUGGAAAGUUGGGGGUGAAAUCCCGGGGCUCGACCCCGGAACUGCCUCCAAAACUAUCAGUCUAGAGUUCGAGAGAGGUGAGUGGAAUUCCAAGUGUAGAGGUGAAAUUCGUAGAUAUUUGGAGGAACACCAGUGGCGAAGGCGGCUCACUGGCUCGAUACUGACGCUGAGGUGCGAAAGUGUGGGGAGCAAACAGGAUUAGAUGCCCUGGUAGUCCACACCGUANACGAUGAAUGCCAGUCGUCGGGCAGUAUACUGUUCGGUGACACACCUAACGGAUUAAGCAUUCCGCCUGGGGAGUACGGUC